UACAGAGGGUGCGAGCGUUGUUCGGAAUUAUUGGGCGUAAAGGGUGCGUAGGCGGUCGGGUAAGUCUGAUGUGAAAUCUCACAGCUUAACUGUGAAACUGCAUUGGAUACUAUCCGGCUCGAGGAAUGGAGGGGAGACUGGAAUACUUGGUGUAGCAGUGAAAUGCGUAGAUAUCAAGUGGAACACCAGUGGCGAAGGCGUGUCUCUGGACAUUUCCUGACGCUGAGGCACGAAAGCCAGGGGAGCAAACGGG
rnacentral:rRNA from 1 species